rnacentral:rRNA from 1 species
CCGCGUGUGUGAAGAAGGCCUUCGGGUUGUAAAGCACUUUCAGUUGUGAGGAAAAGUUAGUAGUUAAUACCUGCUAGCCGUGACGUUAACAACAGAAGAAGCACCGGCUAACUCCGUGCCAGCAGCCGCGGUAAUACGGAGGGUGCGAGCGUUAAUCGGAAUUACUGGGCGUAAAGCGCACGCAGGCGGUUUGUUAAGCUAGAUGUGAAAGCCCCGGGCUCAACCUGGGAUAGUCAUUUAGAACUGGCAGACUAGAGUCUUGGAGAGGGGAGUGGAAUUCCAGGUGUAGCGGUGAAAUGCGUAGAUAUCUGGAGGAACAUCAGUGGCGAAGGCGACUCCCUGGCCAAAGACUGACGCUCAUGUGCGAAAGUGUGGGUAGCGAACAGGAUUAGAUACCCUGGUAGUCCACACCGUAAACGCUGUCUACUAGCUGUUUGUGACUUUAAGUCGUGAGUAGCGAACCUAACGCGCUAAGUAGACCGCCUGGGGAGUACGGCCGCAAGGUUAA